AACGAACGCUGGCGGCAUGCCUUACACAUGCAAGUCGAACGCGAAAGUGUCUUCGGACAUUAGUAGAGUGGCAAACGGGUGAGUAACGCGUGGGAAACUACCUUAUAGUACGGAAUAGCCUUGGGAAACUGGGAUUAAUACCGUAUAUUCCCUCAGGGGGAAAGAUUUAUCGCUAUAAGAUGUGCCCGCGUCAGAUUAGCUAGUUGGUGGGGUAAUAGCCUACCAAGGCAACGAUCUGUAGCCGGUCUGAGAGGACGAUCAGCCACACUGGGACUGAGACACGGCCCAGACUCCUACGGGAGGCAGCAGUGGGGAAUAUUGGACAAUGGACGCAAGUCUGAUCCAGCAAUGCCGCGUGAAUGAUGAAGGCCUUAGGGUUGUAAAGUUCUUUAAGUGGGGAAGAUAAUGACGGUACCCACAGAAUAAGCACCGGCUAACUUCGUGCCAGCAGCCGCGGUAA
rnacentral:rRNA from 1 species